AAGUAAUUGAAUAUAAUCACAUGUAUUAGUUGUGAUGGUGUUUGACACCAACACAUGUCUGGCACACACAUUCGAUUUGAAGUGUUGGCGUAAUAAUCACAUGUUUUAGAAGUGAUGAGAUUAAGAGUUCACUAAGCAUGUGGAAGGAAACCUAUUAAAAAUUCACAUGACAAGAAGCAUUGAAAGUCCAAUUUUCUCCAUUUUAAUAAGAAAUUUUCUUUUUUAUUUUUGGGUGAAUUUUUAGAUGGUCUUUUGUAUUCUC
rnacentral:lncRNA from 1 species